UCCAUAUCACGUUGAAACACCGCUUCUCGGGCGAUCACCUACGUUAAGCAAGGUUGAGCCUGGUCAGUACCUAGACGAGUGACCGCUUAGGAAUAACAGAUGCUGUAG